rnacentral:rRNA from 1 species
GGAAUUUUGGGCAAUGGCCGCAAGGCUGACCCAGCGACGCCGCGUGCGGGAGGACGCCCUUCGGGGUGUAAACCGCUGUCAGGGGGGACGAAUGCUCGGGCGGUGAAUAGCCGUUCGAGGUGACGGUACCUCCACAGGAAGCGCCGGCUAACUCCGUGCCAGCAGCCGCGGUAAUACGGAGGGCGCAAGCGUUGUUCGGAAUCACUGGGCGUAAAGCGCGCGCAGGCGGGACCAGCAAGUCGGGAGUGAAAUCUCGGGGCUCAACUCCGGGGCGGCUUCCGAAACUGCGGACCUGGAGACCGGUAGAGGUGGGUGGAAUUCCCGGUGUAGCGGUGGAAUGCGUAGAGAUCGGGAAGAACACCUGUGGCGAAGGCGGCCCACUGGGCCGGAUCUGACGCUGAGGCGCGAAAGCGUGGGGAGCAAA